CCGAUUUUACCACCCCAUUGUAUUUCACAUAUACUCAAAUAAGCAUUCCACUGAAGAAGUACGGCAUCGGUUCUUGCGAAUGAAUCUGUUGUUGGAAGAAAGCUAUAACUAAAAUAGUUGGGCUCGAUCCCAGACUUAAUAGCAUUCAACGGAAUAGAGGUUAGCGAAGAAAGAGGGAAGAGAGAAAGCAAAGGCUUCGGCUGAUGUAGAUUCGGCAAAUGAUUACUCUUCUUCAGGUGCAGAUGAGGCUUAUGGGGAAGAGGAGGCAAGGGCAAGAAAAUCAUAAAGAAAAUCCUUGUCCGGGAAAGGCGUAUUAGAAAGGAUGUCCCCUAUAAGAGCUUCAGAGGGAUUUUUCCUCGACUAGAAGAGGACCAAUCCUAAGGGCUCCUAACAAGGUCUAGUAGUUCUGUCCGUCUACUUUCUUAAUAUGGAACUGGGAUUGAGACUUUCACUUUCAUGCUAUGAGUUGAAGAUGGACUAAGCCCAAGAGCAGUCCAAUCUUAACGGGAAAGAAAGUUUUUUGCUCGACUUCCCGAGGCCGACCCGUAACACCUUCUUUGAUCUAAGUCGGAACUUUCAUACUUUGAUGCUGUCCUCCCCGCUGUAAAUGCCUUCCUUUCUGCUGACACUGGUAUUUCAUACCUCUUCGCCUACUGGGAUAGUAGAAAAAGGGUACUGCCCUUCUGUCUUCUGAGGAAAAACUUUGAGCUUUCGAGCGCCUUGAUAA
rnacentral:lncRNA from 1 species